rnacentral:rRNA from 1 species
GAACCUUACCAGGUCUUGACAUCCCUGACAACCCGAGAGAUCGGGCGUUCCCCUUCGGGGGACAGGGUGACAGGUGGUGCAUGGUUGUCGUCAGCUCGUGUCGUGAGAUGUUGGGUUAAGUCCCGCAACGAGCGCAACCCUGACCUUAGUUGCCAGCAUUCAGUUGGGCACUCUAAGGUGACUGCCGGCUAAAAGUCGGAGGAAGUGGGGAUGACGUCAAAUCAUCAUGCCCCUUAUGACCUGGGCUACACACGUGCUACAAUGGGCGGUACAAAGAGUUGCGAUACCGCGAGGUGGAGCUAAUCUCAUAAAGCCGGUCUCAGUUCGGAUUGGAGUCUGCAACUCGACUCCAUGAAGUUGGAAUCGCUAGUAAUCGCGGAUCAGCACGCCGCGGUGAAUACCGGUUCCCGGCCUU